GACAAGAAAUAACAAUACGGGGCUUAAAGUCUUGUAAUUGGAAUGAUGGGAAUUUAAACCUCUUCCAGAGUAUCAAUUGGAGGGCAAGUCUGGUGCCAGCAGCCGCGGUAAUUCCAGCUCCAAUAGCGUAUAUUAAAAUUGUUGCAGUUAAAAAGCUCGUAGUUGAAUUUCUGCUGCAUUGCUUGUGUCCCUCUGGGGUCUGUGCAUGCGGCUUUUUUCGGACGGAGUUUCUUUGUCUGAAUGUUUACUUUGAGAAAAUUAGAGUGCUCAAAGCAGGCUUUUGCCUUGAAUAGUUUAGCAUGGAAUAAUAGAGUAGGACUUUGGUUCUAUUUUGUUGGUUUUAGGUACCAAAGUAAUGGUUAAUAGGAACAGUUGGGGGCAUUCGUAUUUAACUGUCAGAGGUGAAAUUCUUAG
rnacentral:rRNA from 1 species